rnacentral:rRNA from 1 species
AAUCAACGCUGGCGGCGUGCCUCAGACAUGCAAGUCGAACGCGAAAGUCCCCUUCGGGGGACAAGUAGAGUGGCGCACGGGUGAGUAACACGUAGGUAAUCUACCUUCGGAUGGGGAAUAACAACCGGAAACGGUUGCUAAUACCGCAUAAUGCAGCGGCACCUAAUGGUGACAGUUGUUAAAGCGGGGGAUCGUAAGACCUCGCGUCUGAAGAGGAGCCUGCGGCGGAUUAGCUAGUUGGAAGGUAAUGGCUUACCAAGGCGACGAUCCGUAACCGGCCUGAGAGGGCGGUCGGUCACACUGACACUGACAUACGGGUCAGACUCCUACGGGAGGCAGCAGUCGGGAAUUUUGGGCAAUGGGCGAAAGCCUGACCCAGCAACGCCGCGUGAAGGAUGAAAUCCCUC